rnacentral:rRNA from 1 species
GAUGAACGCUAGCGGGAGGCCUAACACAUGCAAGCCGAGCGGUAUUUCUUCUUCGGGAGAGAGAGAGCGGCGUACGGGUGCGGAACACGUGUGCAACCUGCCUUUAUCUGGAGGAUAGCCUUUCGAAAGGAAGAUUAAUACUCCAUAAUAUAUUAAUUGGCAUCAAUUGAUAUUGAAAACUCCGGUGGAUAGAGAUGGGCACGCGCAAGAUUAGCUAGUUGGUGAGGUAACGGCUCACCAAGGCAAUGAUCUUUAGGGGGCCUGAGAGGGUGAUCCCCCACACUGGUACUGAGACACGGACCAGACUCCUACGGGAGGCAGCAGUGAGGAAUAUUGGUCAGUGGGUGCAAGCCUGAACCAGCCAUCCCGCGUGAAGGAUUAAGGUCCUAUGGAUUGUAAACUUCUUUUGUAUAGGGAUAAACCUACCCUCGUGAGGGUAGCUGAAGGUACUAUACGAAUAAGCACCGGCUAACUCCGUGCCAGCAGCCGCCGUAACAC